rnacentral:misc_RNA from 1 species
ACAUGAGAGAUUAACAUCAGCAUCUGUAUCAGUAAGUAAAAACUUAAGAACAUCAACACUUCCAUAUGUAGCAGCAACCAUUAAUGGAGUCCUGUGGUCAAGAACAAUAUUCUUUGACCCCUUUUGGCGGCCAUACCAGUACGCAACCUCAUCAACUGAGGAAGCAUCCUGUUCUAUCAAUCGCUUAAAGCCUUCAAUAUCAUUGUUAGCUGCGAGGUCAAGUAAACUGGAAAAAGUAUCUCCGGUUUCAACAGUUAGAUGAUUCAUAUCUUUGGUGUUACGUGUGGUAUCUCCAGCAGAUGGAGAUGGAGCAGAUGAUUUUGAUGAUCUAUCUGGACCACCGCACAUGCUUCAAUCAACGAUAAUAACAAUUUGAAGCCAAGAUCAGCUUAAUAACUUGAAAAUCAACAGAUCCAGACAACAAGCUUCAACUCAUACUUGAUCUAGAGCAAAAAGAUCAAAAGCAGAUUCAGGCAACAGAGUAAGAGAUAAAAAUUUUGGAUUUAGAAAGCUUCUUGCAGCUUCAGUCUCCAUCGAUGACACCAAGAAGAAAGGAAGAAAUAUGUUGCAGCUAGAGAGGAAAGGAAAGGAAAGGAAGGAAAGGAAAGGAAAGGAAAACUUUCUUUCCUGUGGAGGGAGAGAGCUGAGUAACGUUUCCAAACUGAAAUGGAAAUGAAAC